AAAAAGAACCUGAAACCGUGUACGUACAAGCAGUGGGAGCCUCUUAAUGGGGUGACUGCGUACCUUUUGUAUAAUGGGUCAGCGACUUAUAUUCUGUAGCAAGGUUAACCGAAUAGGGGAGCCGAAGGGAAACCGAGUCUUAACUGGGCGUUAAGUUGCAGGGUAUAGACCCGAAACCCGGUGAUCUAGCCAUGGGCAGGUUGAAGGUUGGGUAACACUAACUGGAGGACCGAACCGACUAAUGUUGAAAAAUUAGCGGAUGACUUGUGGCUGGGGGUGAAAGGCCAAUCAAACCGGGAGAUAGCUGGUUCUCCCCGAAAGCUAUUUAGGUAGCGCCUCGUGAAUUCAUCUCCGGGGGUAGAGCACUGUUUCGGCAAGGGGGUCAUCCCGACUUACCAACCCGAUGCAAACUGCGAAUACCGGAGAAUGUUAUCACGGGAGACACACGGCGGGUGCUAACGUCCGUCGUGAAGAGGGAAACAACCCAGACCGCCAGCUAAGGUCCCAAAGUCAUGGUUAAGUGGGAAACGAUGUGGGAAGGCCCAGACAGCCAGGAUGUUGGCUUAGAAGCAGCCAUCAUUUAAAGAAAGCGUAAUAGCUCACUGGUCGAGUCGGCCUGCGCGGAAGAUGUAACGGGGCUAAACCAUGCACCGAAGCUGCGGCAGCGACACUAUGUGUUGUUGGGUAGGGGAGCGUUCUGUAAGCCUGUGAAGGUGUACUGUGAGGUAUGCUGGAGGUAUCAGAAGUGCGAAUGCUGACAUAAGUAACGAUAAAGCGGGUGAAAAGCCCGCUCGCCGGAAGACCAAGGGUUCCUGUCCAACGUUAAUCGGGGCAGGGUGAGUCGACCCCUAAGGCGAGGCCGAAAGGCGUAGUCGAUGGGAAACAGGUUAAUAUUCCUGUACUUGGUGUUACUGCGAAGGGGGGACGGAGAAGGCUAUGUUGGCCGGGCGACGGUUGUCCCGGUUUAAGCGUGUAGGCUGGUUUUCCAGGCAAAUCCGGAAAAUCAAGGCUGAGGCGUGAUGACGAGGCACUACGGUGCUGAAGCGACAAAUGCCCUGCUUCCAGGAAAAGCCUCUAAGCAUCAGGUAACAUCAAAUCGUACCCCAAACCGACACAGGUGGUCAGGUAGAGAAUACCAAGGCGCUUGAGAGAACUCGGGUGAAGGAACUAGGCAAAAUGGUGCCGUAACUUCGGGAGAAGGCACGCUGAUAUGUAGGUGAAGCGACUUGCUCGUGGAGCUGAAAUCAGUCGAAGAUACCAGCUGGCUGCAACUGUUUAUUAAAAACACAGCACUGUGCAAACACGAAAGUGGACGUAUACGGUGUGACGCCUGCCCGGUGCCGGAAGGUUAAUUGAUGGGGUUAGCGGUAACGCGAAGCUCUUGAUCGAAGCCCCGGUAAACGGCGGCCGUAACUAUAACGGUCCUAAGGUAGCGAAAUUCCUUGUCGGGUAAGUUCCGACCUGCACGAAUGGCGUAAUGAUGGCCAGGCUGUCUCCACCCGAGACUCAGUGAAAUUGAACUCGCUGUGAAGAUGCAGUGUACCCGCGGCAAGACGGAAAGACCCCGUGAACCUUUACUAUAGCUUGACACUGAACAUUGAGCCUUGAUGUGUAGGAUAGGUGGGAGGCUUUGAAGUGUGGACGCCAGUCUGCAUGGAGCCGACCUUGAAAUACCACCCUUUAAUGUUUGAUGUUCUAACGUGGGCCCCUUACCGGGGUUGCGGACAGUGUCUGGUGGGUAGUUUGACUGGGGCGGUCUCCUCCUAAAGAGUAACGGAGGAGCACGAAGGUUGGCUAAUCCUGGUCGGACAUCAGGAGGUUAGUGCAAUGGCAUAAGCCAGCUUGACUGCGAGCGUGACGGCGCGAGCAGGUGCGAAAGCAGGUCAUAGUGAUCCGGUGGUUCUGAAUGGAAGGGCCAUCGCUCAACGGAUAAAAGGUACUCCGGGGAUAACAGGCUGAUACCGCCCAAGAGUUCAUAUCGACGGCGGUGUUUGGCACCUCGAUGUCGGCUCAUCACAUCCUGGGGCUGAAGUAGGUCCCAAGGGUAUGGCUGUUCGCCAUUUAAAGUGGUACGCGAGCUGGGUUUAGAACGUCGUGAGACAGUUCGGUCCCUAUCUGCCGUGGGCGCUGGAGAACUGAGGGGGGCUGCUCCUAGUACGAGAGGACCGGAGUGGACGCAUCACUGGUGUUCGGGUUGUCAUGCCAAUGGCACUGCCCGGUAGCUAAAUGCGGAAGAGAUAAGUGCUGAAAGCAUCUAAGCACGAAACUUGCCCCGAGAUGAGUUCUCCCUGACUCCUUGAGAGUCCUGAAGGAACGUUGAAGACGACGACGUUGAUAGGCCGGGUGUGUAAGCGCAGCGAUGCGUUGAGCUAACCGGUACUAAUGAACCGUGAGGCUUAACCUU
rnacentral:rRNA from 1 species